UACGUAGGCAGCGAGCGUUGUUCGGAAUUACUGGGCGUAAAGAGUGUGUAGGCGGUGUUCCCAGUCUGUUGUGAAAUCUCCCGGCUUAACUGGGAGGGUGCAGCGGAAACUAGAAUGCUAGAGGGUGGGAGAGGUAAGCGGAAUUCCUGGUGUAGCGGUGAAAUGCGUAGAUAUCAGGAAGAACACCCGUGGCGAAGGCGGCUCUCUGGGACGGUACUGACGCUGAGACGCGAAAGCGUGGGGAGCGAACAGG
rnacentral:rRNA from 1 species